rnacentral:rRNA from 1 species
GAUGAACGCUGGCGGCGUGCUUAACACAUGCAAGUCGAACGAUGAAGCCCAGCUUGCUGGGUGGAUUAGUGGCGAACGGGUGAGUAACACGUGAGUAACCUGCCCUUAACUCUGGGAUAAGCCUGGGAAACUGGGUCUAUUACCGGAUAGGAGCGUCCACCGCAUGGUGGGUGUUGGAGAGAUUUAUCGGUUUUGGAUGGACUCGCGGCCUAUCAGCUUGUUGGUGAGGGAAUGGCUCACCAAGGCGACGACGGGUAGCCGGCCUGAGAGGGUGACCGGCCACACUGGGACUGAGACACGGCCCAGACUCCUACGGGGGGCAGCAGUGGAGAAUAUUGCACAAUGGGCGAAAGCCUGAUGCAGCGACGCCGCGUGAGGGAUGACGGCCUUCGGGUUGUAAACCUCUGUCAGUAGGGAAGAAGCGAUAGUGACGGUACCUGCAGAAGAAGCACCGGCUAACUACGUG